AAGACCCAGAAUCAAGGCCAGCAGUUUUCUGAAACUGCUGGUUUCAAGCAGGAGCCUAAAGUGGUGUCUUUCCAUGGUCUCUUGGCCAUUUCACAGCUUUAGAAAUGUAAUGGUCAAUUCAUCAGAAGGAAACAACU
ensembl:snoRNA small nucleolar RNA SNORA2/SNORA34 family